UGUGAAUGAUGAGAUCAUUCUUCCUGACAUCACUGAGGGUUAAAACUGAUUUAAUGAGCCUGACGC